AAACGACUCUCGGCAACGGAUAUCUUGGCUCUUGCAUCGAUGAAGAACGUAGCGAAAUGCGAUACUUGGUGUGAAUUGCAGAAUCCCGUGAACCAUCGAGUCUUUGAACGCAAGUUGCGCCCGAAGCCUUCUGGCCGAGGGCACGUCUGCCUGGG
rnacentral:rRNA from 1 species